rnacentral:tRNA from 1 species
GACCUCGUAGUUCAGCUGGUAGAGCUUGUGCCCACUUGCGUGGGUUCGAAUCCCACCGAGGCUA